CAGUCGCCGCGGUAAUACGUAGGUGGCAAGCGUUGUCCGGAAUUAUUGGGCGUAAAGGGCUCGCGGGCGGUUUCUUAAGUCUGAUGUGAAAGCCCCCGACUCAACCGGGGAGGGUCAUUGGAAACUGGGAAACUUGAGUGCAGAAGAGGAGAGUGGAAUUCCACGUGUAGCGGUGAAAUGCGUAGAGAUGUGGAGGAACACCAGUGGCGAAGGCGACUCUCUGGUCUGUAACUGACGCUGAGGAGCGAAAGCGUGGGGAGCGAACAGGAUUAGAUACCCCCGUAGUCCCUGUCUCUUAUAA
rnacentral:rRNA from 1 species